rnacentral:rRNA from 1 species
GUGUUCACUCCUACGGGAGGCAGCAGUGGGGAAUAUUGCACAAUGGGCGCAAGCCUGAUGCAGCCAUGCCGCGUGUGUGAAGAAGGCCUUCGGGUUGUAAAGCACUUUCAGUCGUGAGGAAGGUAGUGUAGUUAAUAGCUGCAUUAUUUGACGUUAGCGACAGAAGAAGCACCGGCUAACUCCGUGCCAGCAGCCGCGGUAAUACGGAGGGUGCGAGCGUUAAUCGGAAUUACUGGGCGUAAAGCGCAUGCAGGUGGUUUGUUAAGUCAGAUGUGAAAGCCCGGGGCUCAACCUCGGAAUAGCAUUUGAAACUGGCAGACUAGAGUACUGUAGAGGGGGUAGAAUUUCAGGUGUAGCGGUGAAAUGCGUAGAGAUCUGAAGGAAUACCGGUGGCGAAGGCGGCCCCCUGGACAGAUACUGACACUCAGAUGCGAAAGCGUGGGGAGCAAACAGGAUUAGAUACCCUGGUAG